UUCGUUGUUGUCAGUGAUGUAUUGUUGGAACUGAAUGUAAGUGAUCUCAAAUAUUCGUCACUACCACUGAGACAACAAUGAA
ensembl:snoRNA small nucleolar RNA, C/D box 70